GGUGAGAUUUAGUUUGGUUGGAAAUCCUGUGGGUUCAAGAAUCUGGAUUAAUUGCUGUUUUGGUUUGUUCAAUUUGUUCCAGCAGCAACCCAUUUGUCCUGGUAGCCACAGUUCUGGUGUGGAUCAACAAGCACGGCUACGAGUUGGCAAUUUAUUUAGUUGCUAGCGGCGACAAGUUGAUCUUCAGUUGUGCGGUUGAUAGAAUCUUUAGAGUGGUGCAGAUUUAAAUUGGGACUUUGAUUCGAGACGAGUG